rnacentral:rRNA from 1 species
AGGAACCUGCCUUCCAGAGGGGGACGAACAGUUGGAAACGACUGCUAAUACCGCAUGAUGCAUUGAAGUCGCAUGGCUUUGAUGUCAAAGAUUUAUCGCUGGAAGAUGGCCUCGCGUCUGAUUAGCUAGUUGGUGAGGUAACGGCCCACCAAGGCGACGAUCAGUAGCCGGACUGAGAGGUUGGCCGGCCACAUUGGGGACUGAGAUACGGCCCAGACUCCUACGGGAGGCAGCAG